AUAGCCCCAGGAGGGUUCCCCUUGUUAGAUCUGCUGUGUGGGCCCCAGCUCCUGCUUUGUGGUGUCUCUGCUAAGGAUCUAAGCCCAUUAGUCUGAAGCGUUAGUGACAGGCCUGGCCCUGUGGCCCGAGCCCAGGCAGCCAGGCUAAGGCAGGGUGGAGCCUGGUUUGGUAUUUUCCAAUCCAGCCCAGGGAGUGGGUGGAAAGUAUGUGGGGACAGGGUUUGGAGGCAGCACUGCAAGUUGCCCCUGAUUCAUCCUUGGGAGCUCUAGUAGGGGGAACCUUGAAUGUGCCUGUGUACAGACUGUCUUGUGGUCACGCCUGUGUCCUGCCUUUUCUCUUCAGACUUUCCUGGGAGCUUCAUUUAAAUCGUCCUCCAUUCUCCGCUGGGCCUGCCACCUUUGAGCCAUUCCUAUGUGCCUGUCCUGGUCCUCACCUGCCUUUUUGCUGGGCCUAAGUAGAGACAAGUGUCCUAUCUCACUGGACCAGGGUCAAGGUCACUGAGGUCUAGUGGAGCAGGGCUGUGAGGGGUAGGGAGCUUAGGAGGAGAAGGCUGUCUUGUCUGCUGGGACAGGGUGGGCCUUGGCCAGGUUCAUGGCUGUGUGCAGGGGAAACCCCACAGGAAACGGGCCGGGCCAGAUGGCCGCCCUUCCCGUUCUGUUCUGUUCCCCAGGACACCAAUGUGCUGCCUCACUUCCGGAGGCAGCUUGGGGCAGGGCGGGUGCUGGGAGGCAGGAGGGAGGAAGCUGGGGGGUCUGUUUCCAGCCCAUUCCUGGCUGCACUAAAUUUUGCCCAGCUCCUUCAAUACCUGACUUGAGAAAAGAAGUGUCCUGGAUUGCUGGUGUCUUAUGGUGAAGGGUAGGGGCUACAGGGUAUCUUUUCCCUUUUCCCUUUUCCCAAAUCCUGUUGCUAUUUGGGAGUGCCCCAAGCCCAGGCUUUCCCCUCAGCCUUUGGCUCUCUUGCUCCUUGCUCUGUGGGCAAAGAUGUUCUACUGGCUUUAGGCAUGCUAGCUAAACCUUGUAGGCAAGGAGAGGACCCGUUUGGAGAUGUUAAAGAAGGAAUACUUUUAAAUAUGAAUCUCCAGACUCUACCAGGGAGAGGGUUAAGGCCUGGCUGUGGGACCAUGACAGAAGCUGGGGGGAGGCCCUGGCGGUUUCCUCCCCCUCUUUGGGCUUCUAGGAAACGGCGCCAGCUGGUGUGAGAUCACUUCCUCACCCUGCCUGCCUGCCGCCCGAUUUCUCUUCCUCUCUCCCUAGCCCUGUUUGGCCUGCCCAGCUGGAGAAGGAGGACAUGCUUUCCUUCGGCUGGUGUUCUCUACUUGUUGGGCUUGGGGGCCAGGAACACAGGAGAGUGGAAGGGAAAGCUGGUAUCCAGGAAUUUGGGGAAGCCUAGGUCCUUCCAAUCUUCCAAGGCGUGCCCUCUGCCUUGCCCAACCUUCACUAGAGGUCUGAGCUUCCUCUAUGGUCCUCGACCCAGCACCCCUGAGCCUUGGCCGGCUGGGGUUCCUGGGGAUGGGAUUUGAUUACUGCCACAAAUCACAUUGCCAGGGAUUUCCAACUGACCACUGGCCCUGCUGCUGAAGCUGCCAGGUCCACUACUAGUAUGCACAUGUGGGUGCCUAUCUGUGGGGCAAUGGAGCCCAAAAGAGUGGGCCCCCCAGCCCAGCCUGGCCUGAGGAGCAGGACUUAGCUGCCUUGUGAACAGAGUCAGCAUCAUAUUGUGUUCACAGUGGCUAAGUUCCGCCCCCCUUGCCCCCCUACCCUUGGCCACCUUGUUCUUCAUCCAGUCUGUCUGCUUCUAGGUCUCACUGGGCUCUGCCUCCUGUGCCUACUGAGCUGAAACACAGUUGCUUUGGAUAAACUGGCUCAGUUCAGCAGGAACAGGAGUCUGGCCUUCUCCUGGAGACACCUGCCCUAUGACCCUGAGAAUGUGGGAGGCUGGAAAGGCCCCCAGGUCCAGUGGUGGGAUGAAGGUGCUGCCUCCAACUACUACAGCAGUGCUGACUGUCUAGCUAUGUGUCUCUAGUGUCCAAAGAGAUCUGAGAAUUGCCUUGGCAGCUUCACGGCUUUGCAGUAAAAGACGAGAGAUCAGAAGACGACCUGGCUGAAGCUGAGAUGCAGAGACCCACUGAGCCUAAUGUACAUUCUAUGCAAAAUUUCAGCAAGCUCAAAUUGUAUCUUCUUACUUCUUAUUUUCUCCAGCUGUCCCAAUUUAGAUGAGAGACACUCAUCCUAACCUGUCCCCUAAGCUACAAGGAACAGCAAAGGACCACUCUUAUCUUAGUUUCUUCCUUUCUAUCCCAAAUUGUAGGCCUAGUAGCCACCUUUUAUUCCCUACUAAGGAUUGAUAUGCAAGAGACAAUAACUACAGAUCCCUGCCCUGAGACCAUUAAGGGCCCAUUUUGGGCUUCUAGAGUGAAGCUGUCAUAACCCAACAGGCCCUCCAGUUUCAUGGACUGUAUGGGCCCCCCCCCCCCCCAGAGCAGAAGACCUUUAUGAGAUUGGAGCCCAGGGGCCCAUCACUUUCUCUCCCCCUUGUGCAUGAGGCCCUGGGCUUCUCUCCUGGAGUCUCCCCUCCUAAGGCACCCCACCAACUUUGCCCUCUAGAGACAGGAGAAGGGCAAAGAACUUUUUCUUGAUAUAGGCUGUGCUUUGGGGGGUAAAGGAACACUGGUUCAUUCAAGUUACUCUCCAACCCCUUGGAGGUCAGGAUUUAUUGCUAUAAACUCACUGCUGCCUUAUUCUUGCCACUUCCAACUGAGGACCUAUUUCUGAUUCUCCCCUGCUUCCAUCCCCGAAGCGUAGGACAUCUUAGUAUUUGAAGCGACUCCCUCUAUUUUGAGUGUUCGCAUGUGACAAAGGUAGGAGCCUUUCUUCGUCAGCCCGUGGUUCCUGUUGUGAGAGACCGGCUACUCUGCUUCUACACAAAUCAGGCUUCAGGGCGCAGUGACUGGCCUGGUGUUCGGGACGCAGCGGGGCUCCUGGCCCCACACGAGGAUGCAGGAGGGACUGAAAAUCUAGAUAGGAAACUGGAAUUACUUUAGGGCUCGACACAGGCAGCAGAGGAAUGAUGUAUCCUAAACCCGAGGUCCGAUUAAAGUUUACUCAAGCUCA